ACUCCGACCAGAAGCACUGUGCUGUAGGUUGGCAACGACUGAUCUGUUAUGUUAUAGCAAUAAUGUUUGUAAAGUUCUUUCCACGUCUGGUGAAUAGAUUAUCGAAUGAGAAUCUGUAUAAUAUUGUGAAUUAAAUCUAUUCGUAACGGAGUGCCAUGAAUUCGAUGCCGAAGGUGUAGGCGAAUGCUGAAUGAUUUAUGAGUCCCAACGCCGACAAACGAUUUACAAAAGCAUCAGUCCUAAUCAGCAAGUUUUCUAAAUUAUUAAUUUCACUAUCGAAACUGUCGUUUGACUACAUGACAGACUGAACUGCUUGCUGAAAACAGACUUUUUAACACUACAGUGAGCGUUGUCGUUAGAAGAACGUCCAGCGUUUGAUGUGAUGAAAAAGUUGCUGAUGCUGACCCUGAUUUUGGUAGAUACACAACAAAAGGAUGCACUGUGGCCUGGGUUGCUGCUAGUGAUAUCCUUGUGCUGCAUCUUGUAGAAAGAAUGAAUAAUUCUCAGAAAAAUCUCCAAUCACUAUUCACUCUGUUGGCCUGAGUGCUUCUUUCAGUGAGGAUAGGCAAAUGCUGCGAUCACUCCUCCAGCAAGAAUACUUAGAAGAUGCAACAUAUCUACUAAAG